rnacentral:lncRNA from 1 species
AUACAUUGUCCUACAAACAUAGUAAAUGACAAAUAUAUAUCACUACAAAGUUCAACUUUUAUAUGAUGUCUUUGCAAAAGUCCUAAUAUUUUCAAAUAUGUCAUUCUGGUUUGUUACCGUUAGAGAAUCGUUAGAGAAUUAUUUAUAUUUUCAAUUUUGUCAUCAUAAAUAUAUACCUCCAAAGUCAUACUAAUAUAAUAUAAAUGGGUAAAAAUGUUAAAAACUAACUAGGGUUAAGUAUUUAACCUAUAGUUAACUAACUUUUUAUAACGGAUUAUAACGGCAGAAACAUAUUUAGAAAUAUUAAAACUUUUGUAGGGACAACAUAUGAAAGUUGAACUUUAUAGGAAUAUAUUUGCUAUUUACUAUGUUUGCAGAAAUAUUUAUGAAAUUAACCCAUUAAAAAUAUUUUUAUUAUACUUUUUUUAAAUAAAAAUAUAUAAUUAACUGGUUGUUAAUGAUGUGGUGUAAGUGAUACAUACAUAAUAAACUAACGAUGAAAAUAUUAGGACUUGAUAAAUCUGACUGCAGAAACUGGUUGUUAAUGGUGUAAGUGAUUUACCUAAUAUAUUUUAAAAUUUGAUAAAGAG